rnacentral:lncRNA from 1 species
UAUAUAUAUAUAUAUAUAUAUAUGUAUAUAUAUAUAUAUAUAUGUAUAUAUAUAUAUAUAUAUAUGUAUAUAUAUAUAUAUAUGUAUAUAGAGUAGGGCUGCUGUGCUCUCAGGAGCACGGAGGCCUCCCUGCUCCUGAGCCUUUUUCUAUGAUGGAAUUUUCGAAUCGACGAUCGGCUCCGUUAGACUUGAUCUAGUGUAUUUGAAGUUUCUAGAAAAUAAUUUUUNUAAUCUUAUGAGUAUAGAGCCCUUCGUACUCAUAAAUUGUUUUCGAUAUUGGGGCUUCCGAAUCGACGAUCCAUAUCAUUAAACAGGAUCUAGAGUAUUUGAAACUUUUAGAAAAUAAAUUUCGUAAUUUUUUGAGAUCAUUAUGAAGUCCAUCAAGAAGAUAUAAAAUGAACGGUCAAAAUCGAAUGACAUCCUAAAAUUAGAUGAUCGGAUCCUUCAAUUUAAGAUCGGAGUUAUUGAUCUUUAUCUAGAUAAUGAAUAGAAUUUUUUAUCAAAAAUUCAAGCUAUUCCGAUUCUUUUACACCGUUAAACUAGCAAGUAUCACAUACCGGCCGUUAAAAAUUGUCAAUUUUGUGAGUUUUUGAUUGUAAGGUAAAUGAUAUCGAAAAAUUAUAAAAUUUGAUUUCUAGGAGUUUUAAAUGCUCUAGAUAAUAUUUAAUGGUCUGGAUCAUCGAUUCGGCAGCUUUAUUAUCGAAAACAACUUAUGAAUACGAACGCAAUCGUACUCAUAAAAGAUAGUAGCCGGACUAUAUAUAUAUAUAUAUA